UUUUGAGUGUAAAGUUGUAUUUCCUUAUUAGUAGUAGCUAUGUUCUUGAAAAUAAAAAGAUUUGGCGGUACUUUAGUCCAUUUAGAGGAACUUGUCCUAUAAUUGAUGAUCCACGAUAAACAGUACUUAUAUUAUAUUAGUUUAUAUAUCGCCGUAGGUUGAAUGUUUUAGAAGAAUGAAAAUGUUCAAGAGGUUUAAGCUAGACAGAAAAUCAGGUCAAGAUGUAGCUUAUAUAUGAGUAGAGAUGAGUUACAAUGAAAUUAUUUAUACGGAUUGGUGUUUGAAAAGCAUUAAGAAGGCGGAUUUAAGGGUAAUUUUAUAGAUUUUUAUAAGAUGAUUUUGGCUCUAGAGUAUGC
rnacentral:rRNA from 1 species